GGCGCGGGGUAAGGAGAAAAAGCAGGCGGCGGCGACCUUGCCCUCGACGGCGAGCGGCGGGAGGAGGGGCAGGCGGAGACCUUGCCCUCGCUAGCGCUGGGCAAGGAGGAGGCGGUGGCCCGGGCGCUGGGCAAGGAGAUGGCGCAGUCGCAGGCGCAUGAGCACGAGGGCGAGGACGAGGACGCCGGCGACGAUGAGGAAGAGGAGUGAGCGAGGCGAGGUGCAGAAACGAGAAUUCUUCGGCGGACUAGUUAUGACUUAUGAUGGGGUUAAACUCCUCCGGCCACGUGCCGUUGAGGAUAUAUGGGUUGAUUUCACCAAGGAUUAUGUGGCAAAAAAAAAGCCUGGACCCCUUACUUCCUUUGUGAUUGUUAUCUUUUAUGUUGCUUGUAGUCAAUUUGGACUGAGUAGUGAUCUUACAACAUUCAUGAUUGCUCCAUUUAUUUUUCUUCACAACAAAUGAAAAAAAUAUGAGAUCAUUUGCUCAUUAGUUCCUUACUGAUUUAUCAGACCGCAAAUACAUUUUUUCUCCUAAAAGGUUGUAAAGCAUUACCUUGAUGGAACUGUGAUGUCCAAAAACUGUAUCCUAAAGGGUCACCGUAGGUGCAAAGAGACAUCUCAAAAAGCGAUUGGUGAUUUAUAUCUAUGGUGUAUUGGCAUGUGCCAGUUUUGGGUUGGUAACUGCUAGCUAGGGAUGAUUAACAGAUUGAGCCCUGACAUGGUAACGGUACCACUACCAAAGAACACAGCUAUUAUCUGUAUUCAAAAUACAUUGCAUUGCUAGCGUGUGAACUAAUUCUGACUUACUCUGCAAUGUUACGGACUUAAGCAAGCUAUAUCUCUUUACAAAUUGACGCAUAUGCACCCGCUGAUUACCCCCCUGUAGUUGAUGGAGAUGCAUAGCAUGAUGUUUGACUGAUUGUUUUGUUUCCCCUAACAUUCUUAUCCUUGUUCAUUUUGUUAUCAGGCUGUUUGGCUGAAGGAAUUCCAAACUUUUGAGGACAAAGCCAGUGCUAUUAAUAUUUAUACUGGGGUUAACGAACAGCUUGCUAAAAUGGUCCAGAAACACAUCGAACCUGAUCUGAAACUAUCUGUUUGAAGACUUAAGUACAAAAAAUCAUUGAAGAACACCUGGGAAUAUAUUGUUUGUUUGAUGAUUGUGUGCUGGAGUUGAUGUGGGGGCGUGGGGCCUGAAGAAUUGCAUGCAUCAUUUAUUGCCUGGUGAAGAAUUGGAGCUGACAAAGGAGGAUUGCCUCCAGAUGAGCAAAGGAAUGAAAAUGGUCCUAGCUAAUUAUGACUUUGAUGUCAAACCAGAGAUGGUUGAUUAUCAUUGAGGUGGGUGGUGUACAAUUGCGAUUAUUGUGUGGACAAACAUUCUAAAUCCUUGCAUGAUGCUGCUAAGUACCUUGAGGAGAUAUCUGGCAUUAACCUUCAUGGUUGGAGUUUAAUGAAGAUUGCAACCACACUCAUGAUGGUAUGCUUCCCUUAUCAACAACAUAAAACUGGCCAUCCCGGAAAGGUAAACAAUAAUAUUUUGCAAAUGUGUUCUAAGCUUGCUGCUCUGCAUUUGACAAAAAAACUGUCAUUUGGGUAGCUGACUGUGGCGACUGAGAUGAAUCAAACUAGCACUGUUCAGUGACUAUGCCCCUGUCCUGUAAUUUAUGAAUAAUAUUCCCGUCCCGUGAGUACUACUUCUGUGUCGUCCCGUGCUCAGUAACCAUUGUUUGGGGCGCGCCGAGGCGCCGCAGCAUCGGUCAGUUGGUGUCCAUUGUUUGGAUAUAGGGAGAUAGAUGUUUACGGUGCUUUGUGGCUCUGUAGCAUGUGUUUAAUCAGCAGCAUACGGUGCUAUAUGAAAUUUGGCCACGAUGGUGCACUGCAAAUUGCUAUAAAGAUCGACUAACUGAUAGGAAAAUAGUUGAGGCUGCUGUGCGGAGGUGUUGCUCCUGUACCCAUGGAACAUAAAUUUCAUUAUCAAUGGUGUAUAUUUUGCAGCCAA